rnacentral:lncRNA from 1 species
AAAGACUUCCAUCCCAGAAAGCUAUUCACACUGCAAAUACCAAAUUUCAGUUUUUUUAGGAUGCCCUAAGUGGCCCAAAUGCCAAAUUCAAAGUCAGAACUGAAGUUGAAGAAACAAUGGGGAGAGAGAGAGAAAGAGAGAGUGUUGUUCUUGGUUUUUAUGAUUUUUUUUUAUUUUGUAAGAGGAUAGCAGAGUGAGAGAUAUAGUAUUUGGUUUCCUGGGUUUUUUGUGAUUUUGCAGAUUCACGGCAGAUGUGAAAAAAUGAAAGAGAACCGACACAACUUUUUGUAUCGAUUCCCACAGACGG